rnacentral:rRNA from 1 species
GUGUGCGAUCAUACCAGCGUUAAUGCACCGUAUCCCAUUGGAACUCCAUAGUUAAGCACGCUUGGGAUAGAGUAUUACUUGGAUGGGUGACCUCCCGGGAAGUCCUAGUGUUGCACUCC